AAUUUUUCUGAUUUCAGGAGUAGCCUCCCCUGUUAAAGAUCAAUAAUGGUGGAUAAGCAAUGCAGGGUGCUGUCAUGUCAUCAACAGAGAGUUUUGACACCCGUAUACCCGUAUUUCUACCAAUCACCUCUGUAACCUUUGUUGUGUUCAUCAGACAGAUGAUGGACCACUCUACUUCCUUUUACAACAGGUGCCCCUACAGAUUCACAAAGUUCCAAUGUUGAUUUUCCAUGACCCCCAUUCAUCCACGACAGGAAAAGGAAUGAAGUUGACAGGAUUUCCCGCACUGUCCUUGGUAGCAGCUUAUGAUAGAACGGACAGCAGUAGACAUAGCCCGCUUCAUCAAAGGUCUGCUGCAUGUUGGUAGCUGAUGCUGGUUCAAUAUUUGCGCCAAGAAGCAUAUCACGGAUACCCUCUGUAGUAAGGCUGGUACCCAUGUGACCGACAGCCAUAGCCACAUUUAGCUGUGCAGCUCUGCGUCCCCUUCUGGAUCUCCCCACCUCUUCAUACAGCUUUUCACGGCGACUUGUAUAGUGGCACUUCUUACAUCGGAUGGAAAGGAUCCAUGCCAGGCCUCGUUUUUCCUCUCCAUGCUGGUUCCAGUCCAGUGAACCAUUACAGUCUGGAAACUUCUAGCUGCCUGGUCUUCUAAGAGAAACUCCAUUCUUUGAUGACUGAUGGAAAAACCUCAUCACUCCCUACUGCUAAAGAACCACUUAUCUUAAUCACCAGCCAUUUAUCAGUGAUCACUGUUAUCAAAGCUCCAUGGUACGUCAUUGAAGUCUUUCUUGGCACCAUUUUUUCCAGUCCCUGACUUUGUUUAGAAUUAAGAUUGACAAUUUUUUGCUAAUUACUUCCUUAUAAAUCAGUAAACUUCCUGUUUCUUAGUUAAUUAGGGCUUGUUAAUUAGAGUUGAAAAAACUUUUAUGCAGAUGGACACAAACUCCAACAUCUCAGCUUGCAUAUCAUUCCAAAUUUUUUCCUAAAUAAUUCACUUAUUAGAUUUUUUUGUGUUUUGAAAAUGAUAUACUGGAGAUCAAUUUGACCAGAAAUUUAGCCUAAAAUUCUGCAAUCUGUUUGGAAGAGUUAUCUCCUAUUUUUCAUCCCUUAGGGUCAAAAAUAGAUUUUGAUGCACUAGUAUAUGAGAGAUAAAUAACUAAUAGACAUUUUUCUGCAAAUUUCAUUUAAUUUCAUAAACUUUUAGUCAUCUUAAAGGUCUUACGCAAGGAAAUAGCCAAUCAAAAUGAACUUAGUCAAUUGUAGUUCUAUAUAUAGAGAGAAUUUCUGUUCUUUUUAAGCGCUAAGCGUAGCUUAAGCGCUUAUUGCCACCAGUUGGAUUUUGCUUUCGUCAUCAUGUUUCCGGUUUAUCGCCACCUAUAGGCGAAUUUAUGCAUCGCUGUAGUCAAGUCGUGUUUAAAGUAGUCGUAAUUUUGCAACCGAUCUAGCACGGGGAUAACAUUCAUAUCUGCAGUUGCAUCCCCCCCCCCCCGGAAAUACAGUUCGUUGAACAGUGAAUAAAAUAUGUAUAAAAAGGGUGAUAUUUUUGUCCUCAUUCUUGAGGAAAAUGAGACACAGAUGCAGGUCAUUCUUCAGUUAAAAUUCCCAUUUGAAUCUGCGUCUGUAAUAAUUAAAGUGAUUCACAAUCUAAAAUUGAAUACGAAUAUGUAUAUGAAACCGUU